rnacentral:rRNA from 1 species
CCUCCUUUUUUCCUCCUUCCCCACUAUUGCACAAUGGGGGAAACCCUGAUGCAGCGACGCCGCGUGAGUGAGGAAGUAUUUCGGUAUGUAAAGCUCUAUCAGCAGGGAAGAAAAUGACGGUACCUGACUAAGCCGCCACCGCUCCCCCCUUCCCCUCCUCCCCGUCAAUACGCAGGGGGCAAGCGUUAUCCGGAUUUACUGGGUGUAAAGGGAGCGUAGACGGAAUUGCAAGUCUGAUGUGAAAAUCCGGGGCCCAACCCCGGAAGUGCAUUGGAAACUGUAUUUCUAGAGUGUCGGAGAGGCAA